CUUCCACCCCUCCGGCCGGCUCCUCUCCCGCUUGCGCCUCCUCCUCCCCCCACUAGCGCCUCCCUCUCCUCCUUCCCCGCCUUCGCCCGGCCUCCUCCUUCCGCCCCACCGAUCUGGCGCCGCCCCGCCUCACCGUCCUCCGCCGCCUGCCUCCUGCCUUGCCUCGCCUCGCUCCGCCGCCGGCCUCCUGCGCCACCCUGCCUCGCCACGCUCCGCCGGCCGCCUCCUGCGCCGCCCCAUCUCACCGUGCUCCGCCGGCCGCCUCCUGCCUCCCACCGUGGAGAACGGCGACAGGCGGCUGCCAACGGACGGAUACAGGCAGAGGAGGGUCAGAGAGGCGCGCGGAAGGCCGACGAGGUUGGGCAGCGCCGGAUCCAGAGUUCGGGGUGGUGCCAUGGUUGCUCGGUGAGCUCCUGCAGGGGAAGAUGGCGGGGCGAGAUUUAAAGGGAGAUGGCAGAGAGAAGCGAAAGGGAGUGGCGGCGGGGAUUCUGUUGCUCACCGCGAAUAUCGAGCGCUUGGGCACCAUGCGAGGCUGCGGCUGCGGGCGGUUGGAGACGCAGCCUUAGGCAAGUUGUUGUUGCUUUCGAGUGCUGAGCGUCGCUCUGUCGAGUCCGGCGGACGAAGGAUUAGGGGAGGGACGGGCUGUGGAGACUUCGAGGCGGCUGGUGGAGGCGUUGGCCUUGUCGGAAGGCCGGAGGAGGCGACCGGUGGUGGCUCGCCAUGGCUGCACUUCACGGGAGCGGAGGUAGGCAUUCGAUGGCCAGUCCGUGUGGAUGCAGAUGAGACCCAGCCGUGAUGAACAAAUAGUAGUAGACUGUGCUGGUCUUUUCCUCCUAUCUGAAUUUUCUGCAGAUGAGAUCCAGCCGUGAUAAACAAACAGCAGUAGGCCGUGCUGCUCUUUUAUCUAUUCUGAAUUUUGUGCAACUCAGAUCCACCAAGGAAGAGAUGGAUGAGGCCGUGCUGCUCCUCUCAUCUAUCUCAAUUGCUAUAUGGAAAGCUCUAAAUUUCCAAUCAGCCAUGAAGGACCGAUCAGAAGCGAGGCCCUUGCUGCUCGUGUCUCCUUGCUGGUGGCAACCCGACCUUCAGCUUGCCAGCGACAGGCAGGAAUCCGGUCAGUGGCCGCCAAAUAAGUACAGGUUACGGAAGAGACCUAAGUCCGACCACCGCCCAACUCCCAGCUACUCGCUGCAAUUCCCACAUCCACCUCAAAUGGGAUAAGCGCUCCAGGUGAGGCGUCCCCGGCUAGGAGCAGAUCUGGAUCCCAUGGGUCCACCUCUCCCCGUUCGUUGGAUCUUUGCCCCCCAGCCGUGGCCACUCCUCAGGUUUGCUGGCUGAUGUCACGCCCGUUCCAAGGCAGGUUUUUCCCAGGGGAACCUCCUGGGGUGUGUCCUAUGAGGUAGAAGAUUCUUGCUCGGUUCCUUGUGUUUGGGAUGAUCCAGAUGAGAUAGUGCAUCAGUUGCUCACACGAAGAAACCACCACAAUGAGAAUCCUCUUCUAAUCUGGCAAAGAGGGGAAGAUAGAUACCUGGCUGCCUGGAAAAGUAUUUUUCAAAUUAACCAGAAUGAGUUUGACUUGGUGUACAAAUGUGGAACUUCAAGAAAAGUAAUGCAAUGGGGGUCUGGCUGUGUUUUUCGAAAGUGUUGUCGAUAACGAGAGGCUUUUACGACAAUGGAGGCAGCGACAAGCACUGAUAGAUAUACUGUUAGAACAAGAUACAUGAUUUUGAGUGGCUAAUUUGGCAGUAAUGCAAUGGGGGUCUGGCUGUGUCUUUCGAGUGCGGUGUCGGUAAUGAGAGGCUUCAAUGACAACGGAGGCAGUGACAAGCACAUAUAUGCUCUAGCUUUGAGGCACUGAAUUGUGUAUAUUCUGAACUUGCAUUAGAGCUUCACAUGUGUAUGUUUUGAACCUACAUUAGAGCUUCACAUAUCAUUAUAUCGUGAGUCACCAAAAAAAUUGCAUUGCAAACUUUACGCUUUUCUUUUGACCGUAUGACAUCUUAAUCCUUUUAGGUUGGCAUCAAACUUUAUGAGUGGCUUUUUGUUAUUAUGUUGAGCCAUGCUUUAAUUUAUAUUAAUUGGCCAAUUUUUGAUGUCAUAUUUUCUUUAGAUGCAUCACUUGCAGUCAUCCUUUGAUUUCUAUUAAUUGAUCAAUAUUUAUUCUGGAGUCUACCAUGGAUUUACAUGCAACUCAGAGAUUUAAAGAUGUCUUCUUUGGCUGGCAUGAUUGUUUACCUUUUCCUCACUAGAAGCAAUUAACCUACAUGAUCUGUGCAGAAUAUGUCUCACCACUUUAGUAGGCAGGUUUAACAGGAAAUAAUAGUAGCACUAUUUCAACAAGUGGUUCCUUUGUAUGAUGCGGGGCGAGGGCGAUGAGGGCAGCGUCGGGUUUGACGCCGGACGGGGCGGCCGGGGAUGAGGGUGGCAGUGUGUUUGACGCCGGGCUUAAGUACCUCGAGGCCGUCAAUGGCAAUGUGCUUGUGUAUCCCAGGUUCAUCACCGAUCCUUUCACGAUUUUGCUAGACACGUUCUCUGGCGGGUAACUGCACACAACCACAGGAGGAGGUCGUGUUGUGGAAGAAUACGGCCUGGGCAAAGCCAUACUCUUGCAUCUCUUUCAACUGGACAAACAUGAUGGAUAUGGUGGUGGACCUGGGCAGUUUUGCUCUAACCUCAAACUCUUCUUAAUUCCCCACAUUUAGCUUCGGUAAUACUAGCUUUAGAGAACGGCGUCGCCGGGGAGGACGGGAGCGGCUCGACCAAUGGCCACCGCAAUGCUCUUCUGCCCGCUGCUUGCCUCGCCACCCGGGCGCAAAAUAGAGCUGACAAGACGUCUGUAUGUACUGCAGUUCAAUGAGGAAGUGCGUCACUUUUUGUAAAGAAAUACAAGACUAUCUUUCACCCAGGAGAGGUUAACUGAAUUAGGGAGAUGGCACUGUGCCCAUGGACAAAGUCAGUUGCUCCGAUAUGGAUGAGCAGCAGGUGCUGCUACCGCUGCAGGUGGACAAGGCACGAGGUCUCAUGGCUCCUCCCACUCUUCCCAACAACACUGUUGUGAUGUACUGAAGCCUCCCGUUCCACAUGUUCAGUACUUGCACCUCAACGUCACUUCUGUGAGUGGUGGCCUAGGUUAGGUCGAUCCCUAAUCUCUGUUCCAAUUUAUUCCGGUGUCAUUAUUCUCAGCAUCCUUUAAUUUGCGAUUUAUGCUGCCUUUGUAUUUUUUGGGGCUAGAGAUUGUAGGUUGAUUUAGAUUGCUAACUCGAUUCAGACUACCAAUACUACUGUAGAUAUCGAUGUUUCCAGAGCAUCAUUAUCAAUUGGCUGUUAUCUCAUUGUGUUUAUGAGCAGAUACAACAUCUCUUGUGAGACUUAGUCUUACACUUGCUGAUAUAAACUACUUGGCAAUAUUUAUAGAAUGUAUGUCUUUCUGUUUGUACUACUUGAUACAAAUCAGUUGUCCUAGGCAAACAUUGUGGCUUGCUUUUGGUACAUAUUUUGUCUCUGUGAUCUUUAGUUUUAUGGUUAUCCUGGGCAACAACUACACUUUGCUUGUGGUAUAUAUUUAAUCUAUAUGCCCUAUAUUUAGUUAUCCUGGGCAACAGCUAUACCUUGCUCUUGAUGUAUCUUUGUAGUGUUUGUGAUAUAUACCAAACACAUUAUUCCGGGCGGUUAUUUUAAUUUCUUUUGGAUGUUCUAAACGCUUUGUGAUAUUAAAGUUUUAGUCGCUGUGAGGCAACACCUGCAAGGCGCGCUUCCGAUCUUAGCAUUAGACCAAAACGUUUGGACCGGUACCCUUAAGCCUGCUUCCGAUCUUCGCAUUAACUACUUUGACCAAAACGUUGGGACAUGCACCUUUGCGCCAAGGCGUGAUCCCGAUCUAGUAUGGCAUGUCACGACAAUCGUGUGUGUGGAGCAGAUCGGUCUUGGCGUGGGAUUCCCGACGGUAGGCGGAGUAGAUCAGUCGUGGUGCAGAUGAGGCGACGACGAGCAGCCUGUCGUCCUUGUCGUCAGCCUGCAGAGCUGACCGCGCGGGGUUCACCGACAGCGUGCGGGAGCAUAUCAGCCUCCUUGGUGGAGAUGAGGUGACAACGAGCAGUCCCGGAUCCUUGUCGUCUUCCUAUUAAUCGGGAAAGGAGGCCUCACCAUGGUGGGGCAUAGGAGGGGGCAGAGUUCUCCACCUCGUGCAAUUCUCCUCCUCCUCGUGCAGGGCUAGGCCGGGAGGAGAGGGGUGGAUAGGGGAAGUGGACGAAGGGGAAAGCAGUGUUUUGGUGCCCGAGCGCAGCUGCUCCCGAAAUCCCUCGCAUUGGGAUUCACAAAAUUUGGUCUGACACGCCUGCGCUGAUGCAUGGGAAAAACAAUAUGGGGUGUGUUUGGUUACCUGCAUAAGGCCCAACCAGGCUCGCGCGGGAAGGGAACGGGCUAUUUGGACGCCUGGUUUUACUAUUGGGCCUGCAUAGCAUGAAACUUAAAGCACCUCUGGGCCUGGCUCACUGGAAACGCAUGAAUCGACAGUUUCUCCAGGGCCAGGCCCGAGCGGUGCACGUGGGCGGCGGCGGCUGCAUGCACGCGGCCACACUCGAGAAGCCGCGUUGCUUCCCGAAGCGCCGACAGUUAUUAGCCUCACCGCCCCUCACCGCUCCCUCUCCCCACUCUUCUCCACUCUCCCAACUCUCACCGGCGGCGGCGGAUCGAAGCAGAGGAAGAAGACCACUGGACUCCAUCAGCGGCGAGCGGAUCAGCAGUUGGCCCGCAGCAAUGGCGAUCGAGGAGAGCAAUGAGAUGGGCAUGGAGGUUGACAACAAGGGCAAGCAGCCCCUUCACCCAAUGCCCGACGAGGUUGUGCUGCCGCCCACCACCGAGGAAGACCUGAAGAUGCCUGAGGGUGGCGACGACGAGGGCAUGGAGGAGCCCCCCAGCAACAAGCGUCGCAACUACGACCACUACCAUCAGGAGGAUGGCCCGACUCACUUCUGCAAGGUCAUCCUUGCACCGAAGCUUGAGUGCAUCCCCAUGCCCCUGGACUUCAUCAAGCACUUCGUCGCGGUGCCGACGGAAUUCAAGCUCAGGAACAACACCAGCUGCUGCUGAAAGGUGACAGUGAAGCUGAUGAACGGCAGGGUGAUCCUGGAUCAGGGUUGAGCCACCUACGCAGCCGUUCAUCAGAUAAAGAUUGGCUACAUGGUGAUGUUCAAACUCCUCACUCCCGACACCCUCAAGGUCAUCAUCUUCGACGACGAUGGCAUUGAGGUCGUCAACAAGUGUGGGAAGCACGAUGAAGCCUUCGCCGCCAAGGAGUAGGGCCGGGGCCUCCCUAAGUACUACCGAGUCUGCUUUGUACUGUUUAUGUUUAUGGUUUAUGCGUAGAACUGAUAUGAAGUGUGGUACUGCUUAUCUGAAAUAUGCUCUUAAGUAGUUGAUCCUCUAUUUAUACUCUA